rnacentral:rRNA from 1 species
AGCAUAUUAAUAAGCGGAGGAAAAGAAAUUAACUAAGAUUCCCUUAGUAACGGCGAGUGAAGAGGGAGGUAGCCCAUCGCUGAAUCCCUUCGGGGACCUGUGGCGUAUGGAACCGGUACCCUUCGUAUGUGUUUGUCUGUGACUUACGUUACAUGGAAUUCUCAACUUCGCAGAGGGUGAGAGACCUGUGUCGCGGAUGGCAUUGCGAUUUGGUAUUGGCUCCACGAGUAGGUUUGUUUGAGAUUGCAAACUGAAGACCGGUGGUAAUUUCCAUCGAAGGCUAAAUACUUCCACGAGUCCGAUAGUUGACAAGUACCGCAAGGGAAAGUUGAAAAGCACUUUGAAGAGAGAGUGAAACAGACUGUGAAACCGCAUGUAGGUAAACGAGUGACAGCACCAGUGCGACGGUAUUUGCCGCAGCACCUUCGCACAUUAGAGUAGUCCAUGCUGUAGCCGCGUGAGUGUUCUAAUGUUGUGUCGUAAAAAUGUGGAUAGUCACUCGACCC